rnacentral:rRNA from 1 species
UACGUAGGUGGCAAGCGUUGUCCGGAUUUACUGGGCGUAAAGAGCGCGCAGGCGGUCGGAUAAGUCGAAUGUGAAAGCCCCCGGCUCAACUGGGGAGGGUCAUUCGAUACUGUUCGACUCGAAGGCAGGAGAGGGAAGUGGAAUUCCCGGUGUAGUGGUGAAAUGCGCAGAUAUCGGGAGGAACACCGGUGGCGAAGGCGGUUCUCUGGGCCUGACCUGACGCUGAGGAGCGAAAGCGUGGGGAGCGAACAGG